rnacentral:sRNA from 1 species
UUCAACUCGAAGAAAAAGCAGGAACGGAAAGAACUUUACUUC